GCUGGGCGAGGUGGCUCCUGCCUGUAAUCCCAGUGACUUGGGAAGCUGAGAUAGGAGGAUCAAAAGUUCAAGGUCAGCCUCAGCAAUUUAGUGAGGCCCUAAGUAAUUCAGUAAGACCCUCUCUCAA
rnacentral:sRNA from 1 species